rnacentral:sRNA from 1 species
CCCGGCGGUGAACCGCCGGGCUAUUCUCAGAUGUCCCUACGGGACA